AGCUCUCUUUUGUUUUGAGGAGUUGUAGUAGUAACAACUAGGAUAAGUUUGUUUUUGCUGGCGAAACACCUGGCAGGUUUAUUUUUAAGGGUCAUGUUACCUGGUGAUCAGAGGUGGGAUCCAGAGAAGACCCCAAACAGCUCCGAGGCUGGUGAGGAAGCUGGUGCGGGCGCCCACAGAGCCAGCAGAGCUCAGUGCUUUCUCGGGGACCCUGGAGCCUGAGGAGUAGCCUGCCUCCAGCUUCCACCGGCCGUCCUGGCAUCUCCGGCUGAGACCUCCGCUCUGUGCCCUGCAGCCUGGCUUCCUGAGGCCUGUGUUCCUGCCACCCAGCUUCAAUGACCGUAUACACCUUGGCCUGCCCCACAGCCAGGCGCCUCCAGCUGUGUUCCCAGAGUACACCCGCAACCCCAGCCUGUCUCUAGCCCAGACGUCACACCACACCUUGUCUGGAACUCAUCCUCACCUCCACUGUAUGGAAAUUAUUCAGAGCAUGGGGUUGAGAAUCAGAGGAAUCGUAAGGGGAAGGUCCCCACCAUUUCAGACAUGCAUAUGACAGACCCACAUAAACGGAGGGAUGCCUGCCUGCAACCAGUCCGGAUGUCAGUGGGAGCUGGCAUAACUCAGAGAAGCACCUCAAGCAUUAUUGUAUACGGGGUGCAGUGGGCAUCUUGCUUAGCAAGGUGGAGGUGGGUGUGCAGAUCUGAUGGCAGAGAAGGCUGGGAGAUGGAGACACUGCUAUUUGUGAUGGAGCAGACCAACUGGCUUAGAAGCCCGUUCCACCACCAGCUGUGUGACCUUGGACAAGUUCCUUAACCCCUCUGUGCUUGAGUUGUGCCAGCUUGAAAAUGAAGAUAAAUAGCUUCUAACUAGUGGGUUGUCAUAGAGAUUAGAUCAUCAGGGGUACAAGUGUCGGGUACUGUGUUAGUGCUCAGUGAAUUUUAGCUGAAAAACAAAGCCAAUAAAAAGGGAUCCCGGAUCUAAUUUUUGACUCAGGAAGAUGGAGAGGAUUGGAAUAAGCAGCGGCUCCUCAUCCAGCAGGAUGGUAAUUAAGUAGAAAAUCCUGUGAGGACCUGGAGGAAUAGUAACUACAUUCUUACUUAGAAGUAUCAUCAGGACACCUGGAUGGCUCAGUCAGUCAAGCUGCUGCCUUUGGCUCAGGUCAUGAUCCUGGUCAUGGGUCCUGGGAUCCAGAGUCCUGGGAUCUAGCCCUG